rnacentral:rRNA from 1 species
GCAAGUCGAACGGUAACAGAAAGAGCUUGCUCUUUGCUGACGAGUGGCGGACGGGUGAGUAACGCGUGGGAACAUACCUAUUAGUUGGGGACAACCUGUGGAAACGCAGGCUAAUACCGAAUACGUUCUAUGGAAUAAAGGUGGCCUCUCCUUGGAAGCUAUCGCUGAUAGAUUGGUCCGCGUUGGAUUAGCUAGUUGGUGGGGUAAUGGCUCACCAAGACUACGAUCUAUAGCUGGUUUGAGAGGAUGAUC